rnacentral:rRNA from 1 species
AGCGAACGCUGGCGGCAGGCUUAAUACAUGCAAGUCGAGCGCCUGUAGCAAUACAGGAGCGGCAGACGGGAGAGUAACACGUGGGAACGUGCCCUUUGGUUCGGAACAACACAGGGAAACUUGUGCUAAUACCGGAUAAGCCCUUACGGGGAAAGAUUUAUCGCCAAAGGAUCGGCCCGCGUCUGAUUAGCUAGUUGGUGGGUAAUGGCCCACCAAGGCGACGAUCAGUAGCUGGUCUGAGAGGACGACCAGCCACACUGGGACUGAGACACGGCCCAGACUCCUACGGGAGGCAGCAGUGGGGAAUAUUGGACAAUGGGCGAAAGCCUGAUCCAGCGAUGCCGCGUGUGUGAAGAAGGCCUGCGGGUUGUAAAGC